AACGUAGGGGACAAGCGUUAUCCGGAUUUACUGGGCGUAAAGCGCCCGUAGGCGGCCUGACAAGUUGGACGUGAAAGCUCCUGGCUUAACUGGGAGAGGCCGUUCAAAACUGUCAGCUAGAGUCUGGAAGAGGAGAGCGGAAUUCCCGGUGUAGUGGUGGAAUGCGUAGAGAUCGGGAGGAACACCAGUGGCGAAAGCGGCUCUCUGGUCCAAAACUGACGCUGAGGGGCGAAAGCGUGGGGAGCAAACGGG
rnacentral:rRNA from 1 species